rnacentral:lncRNA from 1 species
UCUCGAGUUGUUUAUUUUUUUUUUUUUAUGUUUUUUUGAUUUAAAAAAAAAAAAAUGGAAGUACAAAAAGAAGGUUGGUUAUUUAAGCAGUCUAAAUUUUUGAAAAGGUUACGAAAAAGAUAUAUAAUACUAACUAAAGAUUUUAUUUGCUCUUUUAAGUCGCAGUAUUAUCCUGGAGAAAAACCGACGGAAGUAUUUUAAAAAAAUAAAAAUCAAACAACAAAUAACAAACAACAAACAACAAACAACAAACAACAUUUUAAAAAUAACAAAAUUUGUGGAUAUACAUAUAUACAUACAUUUAUAUAUAUAUAUAUAUAUAUACAUUUGAGUCAUCAGUACAACAAUAUAAGUAUUAUAAAGAAUUUCCUUAUGCCCGAUUAAUUGUGGCAAGUGAAAUGAUUUUAUUGCAUAUGUAUACUUCCUUUUUUUUUUUUUUUUUGUCUUUUAUAUAUAGCACAUGUUUAUGUACAUAUAUAUAUAUAUAUAUAUAUAUAUAUACAUAUAUACAUGUGUGUAUUUUCUUUUUUUUUUUUUAUUUUCUUUUUUUUUUUUUUUAAAUAUUCAGAUAUUAUAUUUUACAAAUUUUACUGAAUUGACGUCAGUAGAAGAUCUCAGAAAAAUAAGACAGGUAGAGAGGGAAAUUGGGUUAAACGACUUACAUUUGUUUAAAAUUCGUUACAUAAACAGGAACAUAGUAUUUGUAACUGUAGAUAGGGAUGAAAAAAACGAUUGGAUGAAACACAUCAGCAAACAGAUGAUUAAACAAACGGUUUUACUGAACGAUUAACAGUAAAAAAACAAAAAAAAUAUAUAAGUAAAUGUAUAGGUAAAAACGUGUGUACAUGUAUUUAUACAUACAUACAUACAUACAUACAUAUAUAUAUAUAUAUAAAUGCAAUCAAUGUACAUGUGUAUAUAU